GCGGGGGUAGCUCAGUUGGUAGAGUGCGAUCUAGCCGUAUGUUAGUGAUAGACUGAUCUUAUAUAGAUUAGUGACGUCUAGGUCUGUCGCUAUGGUCCCAGAUCGAGGUCGCGGGUUCGAUUCCCGUCACCCGCUCCA
rnacentral:tRNA from 1 species